rnacentral:rRNA from 1 species
UACGUAGGGUGCAAGCGUUAAUCGGAAUUACUGGGCGUAAGGUGUGCGCAGGCGGUUUUGUAAGUCUGUCGUGAAAUCCCCGGGCUCAACCUGGAAUUGCGAUGGAGACUGCAAGGCUAGAAUCUGGCAGAGGGGGUAGGAAUUCCACGUGUAGCAGUGAAAUGCGUAGAGAUGUGGAGGAACACCGAUGGCGAAGGCAGCCCCCUCGGGUCAAGAUUGACGCUCAUGCACGAAAGCGUGGGGAGCAAACAGGAUUAGAAA